ACCAGGAAUUAAAUAUUCUCCAAGGCAAAGACGUCUCUGAAAUUUUUGAAAAGAGGUGUUUAUAUACUUGAAAUGGUUUGCUUUUGUUUUCUGGUAGACCAGAGGAGGAAGGUGCGGCGGAGCAAGCCGGUGGCUGGGACAUGUUCGCGAUGUGGGAGUGGAGCAAGCGUGGCUGACCUAAGGACUUCGACCAGGUUUUGUUAUGUUCCAUUUUAUUGGAAAUCUUGGAAGGCAAUCAUGUGUACUUUUUGUGGAGCCAUUCUCAAAUCUUAUAGAUGAAUUUUGCUGACAUAUAUUAAUAUUAUAGUUUUGGUUCUCUCUCUCUCUCUCUCUCUCUCUCUAACUUUUCUGUAUGUUAGGUUUGAGUUCGGGACUGUUUUGAUGAACAACUGAAAGUUAGGCUCAGUACUAUACUUCACGUUUGUUUGUUCGGGACUGCAUAGAACUGUAAAUAUAGGCUGCUGAUUGUUAAUCAUGGAGGAGAUGAUAAUGAAGGGAAAUUUUCUAUCUGUUUAAUGUUCGAACAAAUAUCAAGUUGUUCAAUCAUAUCCACAGCUCCGGGAUGCGCUGUUUUUCGGGUUUAUUUUUUUGGUUUUGUUAUAAAAUCAAAGCAAGAAAUGGGUU
rnacentral:lncRNA from 1 species